rnacentral:rRNA from 1 species
UACGUAGGUCCCGAGCGUUGUCCGGAAUUACUGGGUAUAAAGGGUGCGCAGGCGGCCUUGUGCGUCAGAAGUGAAAUAUCACGGCUUAACCGUGAGGGUGCUUUUGAAACGGCGAGGCUUGAGUACGGGAGAGGAUGAUGGAAUUCCUGGUGUAGCAGUGAAAUGCGUAGAUAUCAGGAGGAACACCAAUUGCGAAGGCAGCUCGCUGGAACGUAACUGACGCUGAGACGCGAAAGCGUGGGGAGCAAACAGG